AAGGAACCACGCUCCUAAUAUUUCUAAGGCUUGUGGGAAUAUUUUUAUUUUUAUUUAUUAUUUGCAGUCACUACAAGCACUAAUUAACAACUUCCCAAGGGAAAGUACUAGCUGUGCAUCCUGCUGGGCUUGAAAGCUACUGCAUUCAUUUUGUGUUUAAGAUGAUGUUUUAAUUAAACUGCCCCCUAAUUAUCUUAACUAGCUUUUAAAUAAUAACUUUCCACUGAACCGUUUGCAUCAGCUGCUAAUUGGCUCCCUUCUGUUUACAUAGAUUUCUUCGGCUCAGACAAACGUGCCCGUGGAGUGGCAGACUCUCAGCAAACCUUGGGCCAGUGAUCACAGCCGUUAUGUGGAAGAGCAAGGCUUUCCCUUCAUUGCUAUUCCCCUGAUCAGCUGGCUCUGCUCCAAAAAUCUCCAUUGCCAGAGGGUGCCAAGCAGAAUGCAUUCGCGGAGAUAAGUGAUUCUUCCCCCUUGAGGAAUUUGCAUUCUGCAGUCCUUAUCUGCUCUUAUUAACUUCCAUGUCACAAGGAAAACUAAAGGCCUUCAUCUACAUUUCCAAACAGCAGAACUUUGCCUGCAUUCGAGGGGAAGCCUAAAGCCUCCUUUUGCCAUCAUCACCAUUUGCUUCAAACAGACUGUCAGGAAAUCAGCUGUGGUUUUAGUCUAACAGAGAGAACUUGCUGUUUGUCUGUAAAGCCUUUUCCCUUUGUAAAUCCAGCACCGUUUCACGUCACAGUUGUGACAGGUUUAACCUCUGCAGCUGCACUUUCUUGCUUUAUAUCCUGUAUGUAUUUUUUCUAACCAAUGUCUGUGAAAUUCUGGAGCUCUGCAAAAGGAGGAACGAGAAGGAAAAGGCCAAGUGGUUGGCAGAGGAUGGUUAGGAGCUAUGUGCAUGGUCUCCCCAGCCUCCUCCUUUGAAUGCUGUAACAGGUGCCUUCUUCAGCAGCCUUCGUCUACCUUCCAGUCUCCACUUGGAUCAAUGCAGUGGAUACAUGGGCUUUAGGCACCUUGCAUGGCACCUUACAGUCAAUGGCUGUAAUUGUCAGUUAGAAUUUGCUGCUGGAAUGAAAUAAAUACUUUGCUCGGAGGAGCUGUGGAUGCUGGAAGUGUUCAAGGCCAGGUUGGGUAGGGCUUUGGGCAACCUGGACUAGUGGGAGGAUUGGAACCAGGUGCUCUUUAAGGUCCCUUCCAACCCAAGCCCUUCUGUGAUUCUGUGAUUUAGGAUGAGCUGUGCUCGUUUUCUGUUAAUUGGUUUGAGCUAUUGACACCACAAUACAGAAACAAUGGGACUUUGUGCCUGUGCAGUCAGAUUAACGAGUGUGCUGGAGCUGUAACACAAACGAACUUUGCUGUGAGACGAAUCUUCUGAGAGCUCACGUGAGUGCCAGGUGUUGUGUGAGUGCUCUGCUAUCCCAAAAUGAUGGAGGUACAAAAGGCUCGCUGGAUUUUGCUGUAAUGAAAAAGCAGGUCUUUGGGGAUAGUUUGAUCCCUUUACAGCUUUAAUGUUAGAAGAAUUUACUCGCUUUGGCCUGUUACACUCACCGUAAAACUCAGCUUCAUUGUUAAAAUGUUGUCACUGAAAAAAUAAAUAAAAAAAGGAGAAAUGGAAAGA